CUCCUGGUGGCUCAGAUGGUAAAGUGUCUGCCUGAGAUGUAGGAGACCCAGGUUUGAUCCCUGGGUUGGAAA
rnacentral:tRNA from 1 species